UACGGAGGGUGCAAGCGUUGCUCGGAAUUAUUGGGCGUAAAGGGUAGGUAGGUGGUCUCAUUUGUCUGGGGUGAAAGCCUUGAGCUUAACUCAAGAAGUGCCUCAGAAACGGUGAGACUAGAGUCCUGGAGAGGGUCGUGGAAUUCCCGGUGUAGCGGUGAAAUGCGUAGAGAUCGGGAGGAACACCAGAGGCGAAGGCGGCGACCUGGACAGGCACUGACACUCAACUACGAAAGCGUGGGGAGCAAACAGG
rnacentral:rRNA from 1 species